rnacentral:rRNA from 1 species
UUGGAUCCAGACUUUGAUUAUGGCUCAGGAUGAACGCUGGCGGCGUGCCUAACACAUGCAAGUCGAACGAAGCUUGACGGAUGAUUUCUUCGGAAUGAAACCUGAUAUGACUUAGUGGCGGACGGGUGAGUAACACGUGAGCAACCUGCCUUUCAGAGGGGGAUAACGGCUGGAAACGGUCGCUAAUACCGCAUGAUGUGUUCGGAUGGCAUCAUUUGAACAUCAAAGAUUUAUCGCUGAAAGAUGGGCUCGCGUCUGAUUAGAUAGUUGGUGGGGUAACGGCCUACCAAGUCGACGAUCAGUAGCCGGACUGAGAGGUUGAACGGCCACAUUGGGACUGAGAUACGGCCCAGACUCCUACGGGAGGCAGCAGUGGGGAAUAUUGCACAAUGGGGGAAACCCUGAUGCAGCAACGCCGCGUGAAGGAUGACGGUUUUCGGAUUGUAAACUUCUUUUCUUAGUGACGAAGUCAGUGACGGUAGCUAAGGAAUAAGCAUCGGCUAACUACGUGCCAGCAGCCGCGGUAAUACGUAGGAUGCAAGCGUUAUCCGGAUUUACUGGGUGUAAAGGGAGCGCAGGCGGGACUGCAAGUUGGAUGUGAAAUACCGUGGCUUAACCACGGAACUGCAUCCAAAACUGUAGUUCUUGAGUGAAGUAGAGGCAAGCGGAAUUCCGAGUGUAGCGGUGAAAUGCGUAGAUAUUCGGAGGAACACCAGUGGCGAAGGCGGCUUGCUGGGCUUUAACUGACGCUGAGGCUCGAAAGUGUGGGGAGCAAACAGGAUUAGAUACCCUGGUAGUCCACACUGUAAACGAUGAUAGCUAGGUGUGGGGGGUCUGACCCCUUCCGUGCCGGAGUUAACGCAAUAAGCUAUCCACCUGGGGAGUACGACCGCAAGGUUGCAACUCAAAGGAAUUGAAGGA